ACGCUAUACAUUGCACUCGUAAGAUAUCAUCGCUGGUACAUUAGUUGGUUUACACCAGUAGUUAAUCAAUAUUGAGUAUUAUGUUCAAUUGCAAUACUGUGAAUGAGAACAAACUCGUGUCUGUUGGCCAUUUGUAUAUCACCUACGUGUUGUACAAAGACUGGGUUAAAAGGGAAAGCAUAGAGCAGUCUAACGUCGCAUUUAUAUGUUUUCAAAAAGGCGUAGUUAAUGCAAUCAGCAAAUUGUGCCUAUUACUAUAGAUAUGGUAGCUUAAUAG